UUUAACUGAAGAGUUUGAUCAUGGCUCAGAUUGAACGCUGGCGGCAGGCUUAACACAUGCAAGUCGAGCGGGGGAAGGUAGCUUGCUACUGGACCUAGCGGCGGACGGUGAGUAAUGCUUAGGAAUCUGCCUAUUAGUGGGGGACAACAUCUCGAAAGGGAUGCUAAUACCGCAUACGUCCAUGGGAGAAAGUGAUCUUCGACCUGCGCUAAUAGAUGGUUCUGCCGGAUUAGCUAGGUUGGUGGGGUAAACACCAAAGCAAGGACGAUCUGCAAGUGGGUCUGAGAGGAUGAUCCGCCACACUGGGAUUCGAGACACGGCCCGUGACCACGGAGUGCAGUGGGGAAUAUUGACAAUGGGGAACCCUGAUCCAGCCAUGCCGCGUGUGUGAAGAAGGUUCAUAUGAAGCACUUGUUGAGAGUGAGGCUACUAGUUAUCACCUAGAGAGUAGUGCGGACGUUACUGCAGAAUAAGGUUAAUCGGCGAACCUUCAGCCAGCAGUAGCCGCGGUAAUAUUAGAGGGUGCGAGCGUUAAUCGAUUUACUGGGCGAAGCGUGCGUAGGCGGCUUAUUAAGUCGGAUGAACUCGAGCUUAACUUUGGGAAUGCAUUCGAUAAUUGCAGCUAGAGUAUGGAGAGGAUGGUAGAAUUCCAGGUGUAGCGGUGAAAUGCGUAGAGAUCUGGAGGAAUACCGAUGGCGAAGGCAGCCAUCUGGCCUAAUACUGACGCUGAGGUACGAAAGCAUGGGGAGCAAACAGGAUUAGAUAAUUCUGGUAGUCCUCAUGCCGUAAACGAUGUCUACUAGCCGUUGGGCCUUUGAGGCUUUAGUGGCGCAGCUAACGCGAUGGUAUCUGCCUGGGGAGUACGGUCGCAAAGACUAAAACUCAAAAUGAAUUGACGGGGGCCCGCACAUGGUGGAGCAUGUGGUUUAAUUGAUGCAACGCGAAGAACUCCACCUGGCCUUGACAUACUAGAAACUUUCCAGAGAUGGAUUGGUGCCUUCGGGAAUCUAGAUACAGGUGCUGCAUGGCUGUCGUCAGCUCGUGUCGUGAGAUGUUGGGUUAAGUCCCGCAACGAGCGCAACCCUUUUCCUUACUUGCCAGCAUUUCGGAUGGGAACUUUAAGGAUACUGCCAGUGACAAACUGGAGGAAGGCGGGGACGACGUCAAGUCAUCAUGGCCCUUACGGCCAGGGCUACACACGUGCUACAAUGGUCAUACAAAGGGUUGUUACACAGCGAUGAUAAUCUCAAAAAGCCGAUCGUAGUCUGAUUGAGUCUGCAACUCGACCUUAUGAAGUCGGAAUCGUUAGUAAUCAGUGGAUCAGAAUGCUGCGGGUGGAAUACGUUCCCGGGUUUGGUACACACCGCCCUUCGGUCACACCAUUACGGGAGUUUGUUGCACCAGAUAGCUACAGCCUAAUCCGGCAAAGAGGCGUUUUCACGGUGUGGCCGAUGACUGUGAAGUCGCAAACAAGGUAGCUGCAGGGGGGCUGCGGCUGACUCACCUCCUUAA
rnacentral:rRNA from 1 species